GAGUUUGAUCGUGGCUCCAGAUUGAACGCUGGCGGCAUGCCUUACACAUGCAAGUCGAACGGCAGCACGGGAGCUUGCUCCUGGUGGCGAGUGGCGAACGGGUGAGUAAUGCAUCGGAACGUAUCCUGGAGUGGGGGAUAACGUAGCGAAAGUUACGCUAAUACCGCAUAUUCUGUGAGCAGGAAAGCGGGGGACCUUCGGGCCUCGCGCUCUUGGAGCGGCCGAUGUCGGAUUAGCUAGUUGGUGAGGUUAAAGGCUCGACCAAGGCGACGAUCC
rnacentral:rRNA from 1 species